UCAUAUAAGGCUGCAGUCUGUCUGCUGGGAAGUGAGGGAGUGAAGAGAUGAGGCAAAACCAGAUACAAGGAAAUUCUUAAAGAGAAAGGAAAGACAAAAGGAUAAUCUUAGAAAAAUAAACAGGAGAAUUAUAAAUUAUUGCUAUUUUAGAAAACUCACUCAGGAAUCUACAGAGGAGGCAUUGUCAUAUAGAAAUAAAUAAAGGCCUAUAAACCCAGAGAGAAAUGUGAAAGACAGUGUAGUGGGUCUGAUUUUUUCUGAAGUCAAGGGUGAGACUUGGACCUGGAGAGAGAGAGAGAGAAAGAGAGAGAGAGACACACACACACACACACACGUUAAUUGUGCACACCAAUGGGCAAUUGCAAGAGCAAGAUGGAUCUGCACAUACAUGGAUUUGCUGGAUCUCAGCUUUCUGGGUUUUUAUGGACUGGGCCACUGGAAGGUACCCCACAUCACUUGACAGGAUGCCUCUCCAAAGGAGAAGGUGGAGGGAGAUUUAUAUGCAAACAGCAUGAAAGUGCUCAAGAGCUUUAAUUUGCUGAAGAAAUUGACUUUCUUUGAUAAUAAAUAAAAAUACCUUGUCUUUACAUAGCCCCAUCAUAGUCAUACUUCUCUAUAAAUACACGAUUUGACUGUCACAAUGCAUCUCUUUCAGCCAGAUUGAAUUUUGAUGCAUCCAUGUUGAUUUAUAAUAAAGAAUUAGUCACAUUGGUC